GAGCCAGUGGGGAUAUUGUGAUGACCCAGCCUACAGUUACCAAUCCUGUUAGUCUUGGAGAAUCAACUUCCAUCUCCUGCAGGUCUAGUAAGAGUCUCCUACAUAGCAAUGGCAACACUUACUUGUAUUGGUACCUGCAGAGACCAGGCCAGUCUCCUCAGCUCCUGAUCUAUCAGAUGUCCAACCUUGCCCCAGGAGUCCCAAACAGGUUCAGUGGCAGUGGGUCAGGAACAGAUUUCACACUGAAAAUAAGUCGAGUAGAGGCUGAGGAUGUGGGUGUUUAUUACUGUCAGCAGUGGCUAGAACUUCCUCGCACAGUGAUACAUCCCUCAACAAAAACCUCCCUGAGUUAA